ACCAAUGAAGAGAUCUGUUGACUGCUGCUUUCUGCCUACUCUGGAGAAGUUGGAAAAGCUCAAGGCUGUUACAAAGGUGUAAGAACCAGCAGGGUGUGCACAGCAGGGCUCCAGACUUGCUUUGCACAGGGCAGUCCCUCUGGUAGCAAGGCUUUCUGUGUGAAAUGCUCCUCCUAGAGUUACUCCCAUAAAGAGGAAGGAUCUGACCCAUGUAUAUUAGAGUUGGAAGGACCUCUGGAGUCAUCAACUUAACCUCUACAAUGCCAUUAACCUUCCAAAACAUAUUCCUCUGAGGCUAAACUGUGCAGUACUUCGAUUCUCAGAAAUGUCUCUAUUCAGAAACAACACACUGAGAAUGAAUUAAGUCCACCUGCAACAAAUGUCUGUGGCCUUGGUCCUUUGAAAUUCUGCUGCAUCCAGAAGUCAUGAGAAUUUCACUGCUAAACCUGCGAAUAUGAUUUGCACAGUUCCACCAACAGUGCUGGCCUGACUGGGAGCCCUCAUGGGAGCCAUGGAAAAAACAGCCAG